CCGAAAUAAUUCGUGUAGUUUUGAAAAUUGGUAUAGUUGUACCUUGUGGUGUCCAGAUGAACAUACUAAAAGUCCUCGGGGGUGGGGGGUGAGCUAAGGGUAUUUUUGCUCAUAUCUCGAAUAUCUGUACGAAUAGCAUUAUAAUUACUUCGGACAAAAGAUUCUACAUAAAAUUUUCUACAAAUUAGGUUAUAUUUAUUUUUACUCUACGAUCAAUACUUUAGGAGCUACAGGGU